rnacentral:lncRNA from 1 species
UUUCUAUUUCUUAUACUUUCUAUUUACUUAAUAUCUAUAUUUUACAUUUUAAGAUAGAUGUUUAAAUCUUAAUAUAUUUUUGCCAUUUUCAAAAAUAUGUAUUUCCGAAUGAAGAGGUGAAAGACUUGCCCGGACAUUCCGUGCCCCUAGAAAUCCAUCAAAACCCGCUAAAUUGAUGUACCAACCUUGUCCUCAGAACUGUUCCUUAUCUUUUCAUGAACAAUCUAUGAAACACCAUCUUCCUGGUAUUGUUGGUACAAUUAUUUCAUGUAAUUGAUUUGCAACCCUCUAAUUAUUUGUUACAAGUGCCUUCGCCCAAAGUGUUGAUUCUAAUUCCGCUAGUUUAAGCGUAUAUCUUGGAUCAACAUCCAAAUUGAUAAAAACUUUGUUGUUUCGACAUUUCCAAAUAUACCAUAAUAUCCACGCAAAUUGGUGAUCCUCCAUUUUUGGAUUAACUCUUCAAAAAAGAUGAUCCAUAUUUUUAUGUCUUAUAGUCUAUAUUUACUAAUUAUUUAUUUUACUAUACAUUUUUCAGAUAGAUGUUUAAUUUAGUUUUUCCAGUUC